rnacentral:rRNA from 1 species
UGGGGAAUAUUGGACAAUGGGCGAAAGCCUGAUCCAGCCAUGCCGCGUGAGUGAUGAAGGUCUUCGGAUCGUAAAGCUCUGUGGGAAGGGACGAAAAAUGCCGACCUAAUACGUCGGAACUUGACGGUACCUUCUUAGCAAGCACCGGCUAACUCCGUGCCAGCAGCCGCGGUAAUACGGAGGGUGCAAACGUUGCUCGGAAUCAUUGGGCGUAAAGCGCACGUAGGCGGUCCGAUAAGUCGGAUGUGAAAUCCCUCGGCUCAACCGAGGAAGUGCAUCCGAAACUGCCGGGCUUGAGUACGGAAGAGGGUCUCGGAAUUCCCGGUGUAGAGGUGAAAUUCGUAGAUAUCGGGAGGAACACCAGUGGCGAAGGCGGAGACCUGGGCCGAUACUGACGCUGAGGUGCGAAAGCGUGGGGAGCAAACAGG